GACGAACGCUGGCGGCGUGCUUAACACAUGCAAGUCGAACGGGCCCGCCCCUGUUUUUGGGGGUGGGUUGAGUGGCGAACGGGUGAGUAUCACGUGAGUAACCUGCCCCCUGCUCCUGGAUAACUGCUUGAAAGGGCGGCUAAUACGGGGUGUGCCGGCUGGUCCGCAUGGGCCUGGUCGGGAUAGUUUCAUCUUCGGGUGUUUCGGUGGGGGAUGGGCUCGCGGCCUAUCAGCUUGUUGGUGGGGUGAUGGCCCACCAAGGCGGUGACGGGUAGCCGGCCUGGGAGGGUGGGCGGCCACACUGGGACUGAGACACGGCCCAGACUCCUGCGGGAGGCAGCAGUGGGGGGUAUUGCACAAUGGGCGGAAGCCUGAGGCAGCGACGUCGCGUGAGGGAUGGAGGCCUUCGGGUUGUGAACCUCUUUCUCCGGCGGUGAAGGCCCUGUCCGUUGCGGCGGGGUUGACGGUAGCCGGGUAUGAAGCGCCGGCUAACUACGUG
rnacentral:rRNA from 1 species